CAGCCGCCGCGGUAAUACCGGCGGCCCGAGAGGCGGUCACUAUUAUUGGGCUUAAAGCGUCCGUAGCCGGGUUGGGAAGUCCUCCGGGAAAUCUGGCCGCUUAACGGUCAGAAUGCCGGAGGAUACUCCCAGCCUAGGGAGCGGGAGAGGCCGAGGGUAUUCCCGGAGUAGGGGUGAAAUCCUAUAAUCCCGGGAGGACCACCUGUGGCGAAGGCGCUCGGCUGGAACGCGUCCGACGGUGAGGGACGAAGGCCAGGGGAGCAAACCGGAUUAGAUACCCGGGUAGUCCUGGCUGUAAACGAUGCGGACUUUGUGUCGGACAAGCUAUGAGCUUGUCCGGUGCCGGAGGGAAACCGUUAAGUCCGCCGCCUGGGGAGUACGGCCGCAAGGCUGAAACUUAAAGGAAUUGGCGGG
rnacentral:rRNA from 1 species